GACGAACGCUGGCGGCGUGCCUAAUACAUGCAAGUCGAACGCUGACGGAGGAGCUUGCUUCUCUGGAUGAGUUGCGAACGGGUGAGUAACGCGUAGGUAACCUGCCUGGUAGCGGGGGAUAACUAUUGGAAACGAUAGCUAAUACCGCAUAAUAGUAGAUGUUGCAUGACAUUUGCUUAAAAGUUGCAAUUGCAUCACUACCAGAUGGCCAUGCGUUGUAUUAGCUAGUUGGUGGGGUAACGGCUCACCAAGGCGACGAUACAUAGCCGACCUGAGAGGGUUGUCGGCCACACUGGGAAUGGGACACGGCCCAGAAUUCCACCGGAGGGCACAAUAGGGAAUUAUCGGACAUGGGCGGAAGUCUGAACCAAGCACUCCGGGGGAGGGGAGAAGGGUUUCGGAGUGGAAAGCUCUGUUGUUUGGGAAAGACGAGUAUCAGAGUGAAACGUUCACGCUGUGACGGUACCUAAACAGAAAGCGACGGCUAACUACGUG
rnacentral:rRNA from 1 species